CUCAGGCACUCCUUUCCCUCCUCUAUUUCCUCCUCCAGGAGGGAGGUCGCUCUCCAGAUCUGGGGACUGACAGCCUCCCCGUUCCCAGCAGGGAGAAGGCCCUGCACAGUCCAGAUCUCCGGCUGGUGUUGCUCUGUGGCCCUGAGUCCUUUCAGAUCCCAGGCAAAAUACUGGAGGGGGUGAUCUGUACCUUUAGAAAGAGAUAGGAGAAGAAAACAUGGACUCCAAAUUAGGUUCUGUGAGUUGGGAAAAUCUAUUUGAAGAACAGGAGAGAUACCCGCUUCAUCAUGGGCCAGGCAAAGGAAGGCCACCAGAUGCGGGUGGAGGCAGAAAAGCUGUGAUGACCUUGAAGGGGCCGCUGCGUGCUUCAGGAGGGGUGUACACUGCCGCCUUUCCCGCUGCUGCCGAAUCAGUCCGGGAGAGGUGCCCCAUGACACAGCUUGGGCAAAAACCAUCUUUAGCUGCCUCCAACUGUCUAAAUGCCACUCUGGGACCCCUGGGAGUGAGAUGGGAUCGAGGUUCUGCUGUUCCCGAUCCUGGUAUUCUGAGAGCCACAAGCACAUCAGGAGAUGUACUUCACUGUCUGCUCAACUCUCCAGGCAGCACAUCCCUCUCUACCUUCCCACUCCCUGCCCUUCACAGCACCUCCUUCCCUGCCUGGCCAGCCAGGCAGACCUUAGUGUCUCCUUACAGGAACUGGGUCAAAUUAGGCAGUGCCAAUUGGAGACACACCACAGUGGGAAGAGGUAUAAGGACAGAGAAGUUAGUUUCACAAGACAGGUUUGGCUCAAAGAUCUUGAAAGGAAACUGGCUUUACAGCAGCAUAGACAUCAUUCAGUGAUGGAGGUCGGUACAUAUGUACUGUAAAUUCAGUUCAGUGAGCUGAAUACAAAGCAACUAGAGACAGCCAGUCUCCCAAUUCAGAAGAAAGUAGCUCUGUAAGAAGGGAGGGAAGGUUGAUCAUUGUAACCUCUGGAGACAAAGAUUUUCUUCCCUGUUCCUUUGAAUGCACUUCGCACCAUCACAGGAGUCCUCCAUGGCCCUGGCUUUCUCCAGUCAACAUGAUAUCACAUUUGAACAGGAAUGGGCACCCCUUCUAGACAGAAGAUUUCCUACCACGCUUCCUGACAAGCAGCAGGGGAGACCAAUCCAAGGUCUGACUUCCAAGGGCAGGUCAGGCAUCAGCUAACACCUCCAUCUCCCAUCUCCCCAAAAACGUUCCCCCAUCUGUAACUAUUGGUGACAAAAAUACUGGAGUGUUAAAUUUUCUCUGUGUAGUGGCUGUGAAAGCCUAAAAUAAGAUGGACAUCACAAGUAAUUAAAACUCUUCAAAUCCUCCAAAGAAUCCUGUUUGAUCCAAUGACACUACAAAAUGAGAAUUUAAAACACUCCCUCCUCCCACCAUGUAGCAUAGUAGGUAGAAAGGUAGUGAGGAGGAUAUUGGAUAUUGGUGGGAAAGAGGGUGGGAGUGGAGAGAGGGGCAAGGGUCCAUGCCAUCCUUUUGGUUAUUAUUCCCAAAGUGCAACAGGGAGAAGUGGAAGUUUUUUCCUCUGGCCCCUCUUAAGACCUGGGAUCUAAGGCAGAACCCAGUGAUUAUUAGUAAGACAGAACUUUCCACCUUCCUGGACCUGAGCAGUUCAGAUACUACAAGUAGACCAAACCCCUAGCAUCAUCUUCUCCUGUCUGUGCCCUCCUGAACUGAAUGAAAUCUGAGCAAAAACACUGGAAUCACAUAGGUGGCUCUGCUCUCUACCAGGACUUUGCAUAAUUGGGGAGGGGGAAGGGUUGAGGGAAGAGGUAGAAUUAGGCACUGUUUGCAACCUGACUACACGCCCCUUUCCAGGAUCCAGACCUUGACAUGGAGCAGUUUGCAGCUAUGAAAUGACCUUGACGGUCAACCUAGUGCCCUCUGAAGGAAACCCACCAACCUUUUCUCAGCUCAUGUGUCUGUAUGUACAGCAGAAAGCUCUGACUCCUUUUUCCACCAGGCUGUAGAUGGUGACCUUCUGCCUACAUACAACAUAGAUGAAGACAGCUCAGCUUCGUUAUCCAAGUGCUUGGGGAGCAGAGCGGAGGGGAUGAAUUCCCAGGUCUCCCUAGGAAUGGCCAGUCUCUAAAACAAGAAGGGAAUCCACAACUUCUGAGAAAAGGAGGCAAAUAAAAGAGCUUGGAAUUCAGAGCCUUUGCCAGCAGGGUCAAGAGACCAACAAAGAGAAUCCCUCCGCCUGUGACAUUGUCUACAUGCACAGGGCCCCACACUCUU